UACGUAGGGGGCGAGCGUUUGUCCGGAUUUAUUGGGCGUAAAGAGCUCGUAGGCGGCUUGGCAAGUCGGGUGUGAAACCUCCAGCUCAACCUGGAGACGCCACUCGAUACUGCCAUGGCUAGAGUCCGGUAGGGGACCACGGAAUUCCUGGUGUAGCGGUGAAAUGCGCAGAUAUCAGGAGGAACACCGGUGGCGAAGGCGGUGGUCUGGGCCGGCACUGACGCUGAGGAGCGAAAGCGUGGGUAGCGAACAGG
rnacentral:rRNA from 1 species